rnacentral:rRNA from 1 species
AUUGCCCCAGUAACGGCGAGUGAAGCGGCAAGAGCUCAAAUUUGAAAUCUGGCCCUCUCAGGGCCCGAGUUGUAAUUUGUAGAGGGCGCUUUGGCGUUGGCCCCGGCCUAAGUUCCUUGGAACAGGACGUCACAGAGGGUGAGAACCCCGUACGUGGCCGCCGGCCUCCGCCGUGUAAAGCCCCUUCGACGAGUCGAGUUGUUUGGGAAUGCAGCUCUAAAUGGGAGGUAAAUUUCUUCUAAAGCUAAAUACUGGCCAGAGACCGAUAGCGCACAAGUAGAGUGAUCGAAAGAUGAAAAGCACUUUGGAAAGAGAGUCAAAAAGCACGUGAAAUUGUUGAAAGGGAAGCGCUUGCAGCCAGACUUGCCUGUAGUUGUUCAUCCGAUGUCUUCAUCGGUGCACUCUUCUGCGGGCAGGCCAGCAUCAGUCCGGGCGGUCGGAUAAAGGCCUCGGGAAUGUAGCUCCCCUCGGGGAGUGUUAUAGCCCGGGGUGCCAUGCGACCAGCCUGGACUGAGGUCCGCGCAUCUGCUAGGAUGCUGGCGUAAUGGCUGUAAGCGGCCCGUCUUGAAACACGGACCAAGGAGUCUAACAUCUAUGCGAGUGUUUGGGUGUCAAGCCCGGGCGCGCAAUGAAAGUGAACGGAGGUGGGAACCCCUCGGGGCGCACCAUCGACCGAUCCUGAUGUCUUCGGAUGGAUUUGAGUAAGAGCAUAGCUGUUGGGACCCGAAAGAUGGUGAACUAUGCCUGAAUAGGGUGAAGCCAGAGGAAACUCUGGUGGAGGCUCGCAGCGGUUCUGACGUGCAAAUCGAUCGUCAAAUUUGGGCAUAGGGGCGAAAGACUAAUCGAACUAUCUAGUAGCUGGUUCCUGCCGAAGUUUCCCUCAGGAUAGCAGUAACGUUUUCAGUUUUAUGAGGUAAAGCGAAUGAUUAGAGGCAUGGGGGUUGAAACAACCUUCACCUAUUCUCAAACUUUAAAUAUGUAAGAAGUCCUUGUUACUUAGUUGAACGUGGACAUUUGAAUGCACCGUUACUAGUGGGCCAUUUUUGGUAAGCAGAACUGGCGAUGCGGGAUGAACCGAACGCGGGGUUAAGGUGCCAGAAUGCACGCUCAUCAGACACCACAAAAGGUGUUAGUUCAUCUAGACAGCAGGACGGUGGCCAUGGAAGUCGGAAUCCGCUAAGGAGUGUGUAACAACUCACCUGCCGAAUGAACUAGCCCUGAAAAUGGAUGGCGCUCAAGCGUGCUACCCAUACCCCGCCGCCGGGGCAGAAUUUACGCCCCGGCGAGUAGGCAGGCGUGGAGGCUCGUGACGAAG